GAUGAACGCUAGCUACAGGCUUAACACAUGCAAGUCGAGGGACCGGCGCACGGGUGAGUAACACGUAUCCAACCUGCCCUUUACUCGGGGAUAGACUUUCGACAGAAAGAUUAAUACACGAUGUAAAGGAUGGAGAUGCGUUCCAUUAGGUUGUUGGUGAGGUAACGGCUCACCAAGCAUUCGAUGGAUAGGGGUGCGGAGAGUAAGCUCCCCCACAUUGGAACCGCGACCCGGUCCAAAACCGUACGGGAGGCAGCAGUGAUGAAGAUUGGGCAAGGGGCGUUAGCCGGAAACAGCCAAGGAGCGUGAAGGAUGAAGGCUUAUGGGUCGUAAACUUCUUGUAUAUAAGAAUAGGUAUUAUAUGAAUAAGGAACGGCUAACUCCGUGCCAGCCGCCGCGGUAAUUC
rnacentral:rRNA from 1 species